CUACGUGCCAGCAGCCGCGGUAAUACGUAGGGCGCGAGCGUUGUCCGGAAUUAUUGGGCGUAAAGAGCUUGUAGGCGGUUUGUCGCGUCUGCUGUGAAAGGCCGGGGCUUAACUCCGUGUAUUGCAGUGGGUACGGGCAGACUAGAGUGCAGUAGGGGAGACUGGAAUUCCUGGUGUAGCGGUGGAAUGCGCAGAUAUCAGGAGGAACACCGAUGGCGAAGGCAGGUCUCUGGGCUGUAACUGACGCUGAGAAGCGAAAGCAUGGGGAGCGAACAGGAUUAGAUACCCUGGUAGUCCAUGCCGUAAACGUUGGGCACUAGGUGUGGGGGACAUUCCACGUUUUCCGCGCCGUAGCUAACGCAUUAAGUGCCCCGCCUGGGGAGUGCGGCCGCAAGGCUAAAACUCAAAGAAAUUGACGGGGGCCCGCACAAGCGGCGGAGCAUGCGGAUUAAUUCGAUGCAACGCGAAGAACCUUACCAAGGCUUGACAU
rnacentral:rRNA from 1 species